UUUUGUUUGACAUAUCGGCAAUAUGACAUAGAGUGGAGAACUUUCGUGUCUCGAUUAAUGCCUUAUCGGCAACCAUGCUCCUAGGGGUACCCCACAUGCAAUAUGACAUAUCCCUCUUGACAUCCAGAGCCGGCCCUGAGUAGAUGUGUCCGAUGCGGCCGCACAGGGCCCUCGCUUGCCAGGGGAGCCCACCUAGGUACGUUCCUGUAUAUAUGAUGGCAGAAAAAAAGCCUCAUCGAAUCGGUUGAAAGAAAAGAAUCUGCGACCCGUUCUCCUCGAAGACUCCUCGUUCUCAUCCGCCUUCCGCGACUCCUUGUUCUUCACCUCUACUCCAGUCUAAUCACGCCAAUAAUGAAGCGCUGCUCUCCCCUAUCAGAUUCUGAACGUUUGGGCGGAAUAAUUGGAAGAGGAGAUCCCGAUUUUCCUGAUUUCCAACAAUCUGCAAUGGUUAGUACUUCCUAUUACCUUUCUAUAAAUUGCUUAGAUAUUAUAGUUAUUUUUCAUUCGAUCUCCCAGGCCUUAUUCGAUUCGCUCCUACCUAUCCAUCGUAGAAGAAAGGGAGGAGCGGGAGUGGCGGCCGGCGGCAAGGGGCCGACCGGAGAUGGUGGUGCUGCUGGAUGGUACUCCUGCUGCUUGCUGGAUAGGGGGUUUUGUUUGUGGCAAGCUGCAGCGGGCAAGGGCAACAAGAUCUAGGUGCUUUCUUUUUUGCAACAUUCAAUCUUAUGUUAUAAAUUUUCUAGUCUUUGUUUCUUGUGUUACGGGAAGUUAUCUAGAAAGUGUAAGUCUGAUCAUGAAAAGAGGCAUAAGAGGAGGAGAGAAAAUGAAUUUAUAGAAUCCCAAAAGGGAUCCAUGCGCAAAUUUUUAGGCCAAAAAAAGUUCUGC
rnacentral:lncRNA from 1 species